CUGAAAGGAGGAGAUGCUACAGUGCCCUCCUGCAGGUUGAAGUGAGUGUGAUGUUGUAUAAUCUGAAAGGAGGAGAUGCUACAGUGCCCUCCUGCAGGUUGAAGUGAGUGUGAUGUUGUAUAAUCUGAAAGGAGGAGAUGCUACAGUGCCCUCCUGCAGGUUGAAGUGAGUGUGAUGUUGUAUAAUCUGAAAGGAGGAGAUGCUACAGUGCCCUCCUGCAGGUUGAAGUGAGUGUGAUGUUGUAUAAUCUGAAAGGAGGAGAUGCUACAGUGCCCUCCUGCAGGUUGAAGUGAGUGUGAUGUUGUAUAAUCUGAAAGGAGGAGAUGCUACAGUGCCCUCCUGCAGGUUGAAGUGAGUGUGAUGUUGUAUAAUCUGAAAGGAGGAGAUGCUACAGUGCCCUCCUGCAGGUUGAAGUGAGUGUGAUGUUGUAUAAUCUGAAAGGAGGAGAUGCUACAGUGCCCUCCUGCAGGUUGAAGUGAGUGUGAUGUUGUAUAAUCUGAAAGGAGGAGAUGCUACAGUGCCCUCCUGCAGGUUGAAGUGAGUGUGAUGUUGUAUAAUCUGAAAGGAGGAGAUGCUACAGUGCCCUCCUGCAGGUUGAAGUGAGUGUGAUGUUGUAUAAUCUGAAAGGAGGAGAUGCUACAGUGCCCUCCUGCAGGUUGAAGUGAGUGUGAUGUUGUAUAAUCUGAAAGGAGGAGAUGCUACAGUGCCCUCCUGCAGGUUGAAGUGAGUGUGAUGUUGUAUAAU